rnacentral:rRNA from 1 species
UACGGGGGGGGCAAGCGUUGUUCGGAAUUACUGGGCGUAAAGGGCGCGUAGGCGGCUUUUCAAGUCGGGCGUGAAAUCUCCAGGCUUAACCUGGAAGGGUCGUUCAAUACUGUUAAGCUAGAGUGUGGAAGAGGCUACUGGAAUUCCGUGUGUAGCGGUGAAAUGCGUAGAUAUCGGGAGGAACAUCAGUGGCGAAGGCGGCUACCUGGCCCAAUACUGACACUCAGGUGCGACAGCGUGGGGAGCAAACAGG